UACGUAGGGUGCAAGCGUUAAUCGGAAUUACUGGGCGUAAAGCGUGCGCAGGCGGUUUUGUAAGUCUGUCGUGAAAUCCCUGGGCUCAACCUAGGAAUUGCGAUGGAGACUGCAAGGCUAGAAUCUGGCAGAGGGGGGUAGAAUUCCACGUGUAGCAGUGAAAUGCGUAGAGAUGUGGAGGAACACCGAUGGCGAAGGCAGCCCCCUGGGUCAAGAUUGACGCUCAUGCACGAAAGCGUGGGGAGCAAACAGG
rnacentral:rRNA from 1 species